rnacentral:rRNA from 1 species
UACAGAGGGGGCUAGCGUUGUUCGGAAUUACUGGGCGUAAAGGGCGCGUAGGCGGCCUGUUAAGUCGAACGUGAAAUCCCCGGGCUCAACCCGGGAACUGCGUCCGAUACUGGCAGGCUUGAAUCCGGGAGAGGGAUGUGGAAUUCCAGGUGUAGCGGUGAAAUGCGUAGAUAUCUGGAGGAACACCGGUGGCGAAGGCGGGUCUCUGGGCCGAUACUGACGCUGAGGAGCGAAAGCGUGGGGAGCGAACAGG